ACAGGUGGUGAAUCAAAAGAAAACAAAAAUGGAAGGAAGACUUCUGCCAGACACUGAGUUACGUCUCUGGAUCCCUCUCUUUAAGGAAAUUGAAAGGCAUAGUGAGAGCAGUGGUUGACCCUUGCACAUCUGCAGCAUAGGGGCACAGGAACUGGUGGGGAAAAACUCAAAUAGAGCCACUCAGUGUAGUGCUUUGACUUACAGCUUUAUUAAUUUUUUCAUUAUUUUUCUCGUAAAAGAAGUUAGAUAACUAAAAGAAAUUAGGUCAACAACGGCUUCCCAAAGUUUAAUAAUGGCAAAAAAUGACGCCAUGAGAAAAUUCUGAGAAAAGGUGAACAGUAUGAGUGAAAUGAAAAGCACUGGUCUAUGGAGGUCACAGGAUAGGCGGCAGCAAGACCAGUUAGAAGCAACUCAAUAAAUCUAAUUGUCAAAAUGAUAACAGAGUCAUGAUGCCUAGCAGCAGGCUACAACUGGUCAGGGCAAGAAAAUAGCCAUGGAUGCAUGGCUGACAACAAGAAGAAACAUGACCACUUAGGGCUCCAGCUUCAGAGAUAAACAGAGUGGAGUGAGAACUGGAGCCCCAGACCAAGUGAGAAUCCCCAUGGCGGGAGUGGUGCGUAUGACUGCUGUGUGCAAACAUUUGGGAAGAGCAUGCAUUUUGGUUUGUGAAGGUCAGGAGCUUAGGGGAAGUUAAAUUGUUAUCUUUGGGGGCUAGAAGACCUUAUUUUGGCAAAACAUAAGUGUUACUUCUUGCCAGACAAUUAUAUAUGUGUUGAGUUCCUAAGAGGACACUCUGUAUCUCUGAUGAUACAUUAAAACAGCCAUUCUAGACCAACCAGAUGGUCCAGUGAAUAAAGAAACCUGCUGCUAAGAUGAAGACUUAUCCCCAGAACCUACAGAGCAAAAGGUGAGAAAGAAACAUCUGCCACCACAGCAUCAAUGAUAUUAUUACCUGAUUGCAUGCUUGAUAAGUGAGAGUCAAUGAAGACGAACAUGCUAGGAUACAUGUCAAUGAUACUUUAACGAAAGUAAGCAUAGGUGAAUCUCCUAAACCCAACCAAAGGGCUCCAUCAACUCAGGACUGAGUGUACAAGUGCCGGAGACUGUUGAGGACAUUCCUCUUCCAAAUCACCACAGAAAGAGUUGAGUUGUGGGAUUAUUGGGAACAAGCAGAAGUUUACAGUCAUUUGGAGAAGGGAGUAUUGAAUCACUGAUUCUCCACAACACAGCAAGGAACUGUCCUAUUCAUCCUGACCCUGAAUUCCAUCCAAUGCUAUCACUAGAGAGAAAA